UAUAAAAAUUCAAAUUUAACAAUAGUCACUAGACUGCCGGCCAUUUAGUAUUUGAUAAACCGUGACCGGCUGCCGGUCAUAUAGUCACUUCGUAUUAAAAAGCUUCGAAUCCGUAUCGUUUAAUUUCAAUCCUGAGCAACUAUUGUACAGAAGAGGGGUUCCGGAACCGGUAAAGCCUGUGGAACAAUGAAAUCCACUGUUAACGUUAGCAGAGUUAAUGUUACUUUUAUGUUUUUUAUUGUAAAGCAACUGUAUGUGUGCAUGGGAAGCGAAUGGUAUGGAAAAUGAAAUCAUACGGACAUUGAACUGAGAGAAAAAAGGGGGUUAAUAGGCGAAUGCGAAAAUGUAUACGUUUUAGAGCAAAAGUAUGGAAGCGAGGCAUAGUAAUGAGGAGACCGUGCUGCUUGGAUGAAUGCAUAUAUUAGUUUUGACAGAUUGAAAAACACACAGAUUAUAAAAUAAAGAUUCUUUAUUUCUAAAGGCGUACCGAUUUACAAGUGUAUGAAUUGAAUUGAAUUUUGAACAAGCUUACUAAAUGGGUCUCAUCAGAUGGC